rnacentral:rRNA from 1 species
UCCAGCCGCGAAAGCACGAUGAAUGCACCAGUUCAAAAUGGUUCACUGAAGUUAAGUAACGUUUCGUGUGGUUGGUAUACGGAUGGAUGAUCAUCUAGGCAAUAGCGUGCUGCUGGCU